ensembl:lncRNA
GCCGUCUGGCCAGACUAAGGUCCGUUUUACCUUCCAACUUGUCCGGUGUGUUCCUUCCCGGGUCUUCUUCGCUGCAGUCAGCUCCUCGGAGCGUUUGCCUGCAGUCUUUUGGAGCUGAAAUUACUUAUCUACACAGAAGUCUUCUCCACCCAGACAUGGAGUCUAUGGAGUGCUCUGCCAUCUCUCAGAAACUUGGGUCUUGCUCAAUAGCCUACACUGGCCUUGAACUUGCAGUCCUCCUGUGUGAACCUGCCGAAGAGCUGGGAUGAAAUUGUAGGCCUCCACUUCCUGCUCAUGAUGUAUUUGAAAUCGACUAAGUGAACUAUGCGAUGUGAGCAUUUUAAUAAGACUGUA